GAUGAACGCUGGCGGCGUGCCUAAUACAUGCAAGUCGAGCGAACGGACGAGAAGCUUGCUUCUCUGAUGUUAGCGGCGGACGGGUGAGUAACACGUGGAUAACCUACCUAUAAGACUGGGAUAACUUCGGGAAACCGGAGCUAAUACCGGAUGAUAUUUUGAACCGCAUGGUUCAAAAGUGAAAGACGGUCUUGCUGUCACUUAUAGAUGGAUCUGCGCUGCAUUAGCUAGUUGGUAAGGUAACGGCUUACCAAGGCAACGAUGCAUAGCCGACCUGAGAGGGUGAUCGGCCACACUAGAACUGAGACACGGUCCAGACUCCUACGGGAGGCAGCAGUAGGGAAUCUUCCGCAAUGGGCGAAAGCCUGACGGAGCAACGCCGCGUGAGUGAUGAAGGUCUUCGGAUCGUAAAACUCUGUUAUUAGGGAAGAACAUAUGUGUAAGUAACUGUGCACAUCUUGACGGUACCUAAUCAGAAAGCCACGGCUAACUACGUG
rnacentral:rRNA from 1 species